GUGGGUAUAGCUCAGUUGGUAGAGCCCCGGAUUGUGAUUCCGGUCGUCGUGGGUUCGAGUCCCAUUACCCACC
rnacentral:tRNA from 1 species